rnacentral:rRNA from 1 species
AGUGAACGCUGGCGGUAGGCCUAACACAUGCAAGUCGAACGGCAGCACAGUAAGAGCUUGCUCUUACGGGUGGCGAGUGGCGGACGGGUGAGGAAUACAUCGGAAUCUACUUUUUCGUGGGGGAUAACGUAGGGAAACUUACGCUAAUACCGCAUACGACCUACGGGUGAAAGCAGGGGAUCUUCGGACCUUGCGCGAUUGAAUGAGCCGAUGUCGGAUUAGCUAGUUGGCGGGGUAAAGGCCCACCAAGGCGACGAUCCGUAGCUGGUCUGAGAGGAUGAUCAGCCACACUGGAACUGAGACACGGUCCAGACUCCUAAGGGAGGCAGCAGAGGGGAAUAUUAAGAAAUGGGCGAAAGCUUGACCCAGCCACCCCGGGUGUGUAAAGAAGGCCUUCGGAUUGUAAAACCCUUUUUUUGGAAAAAAAAAAAAGGGGUAUUAACACCGCUUUUUUUAACGGUACCCAAAAAAAAAGCCCCGGCUAACUACGUC